rnacentral:rRNA from 1 species
GACGAACGCUGGCGGCGUGCUUAACACAUGCAAGUCGAACGGUAAGGCCCUUCGGGGUACACGAGUGGCGAACGGGUGAGUAACACGUGGGUGAUCUGCCCUGCACUCCGGGAUAAGCCUGGGAAACUGGGUCUAAUACCGGAUAGGACCACUGCCUGCAUGGGUGGUGGGUGCAAGCCUUUGCGGUGUGGGAUGGGCCCCCGGCCUAUCAGCUUGUUGGUGGGGUGUUGGCCUACCAAGGCGACGACGGGUAGCCGGCCUGAGAGGGUGACCGGCCACACUGGGACUGAGAUACGGCCCAGACUCCUACGGGAGGCAGCAGUGGGGAAUAUUGCACAAUGGGCGCAAGCCUGAUGCAGCGACGCCGCGUGAGGGAUGACGGCCUUCGGGUUGUAAACCUCUUUCAGCACCGACGAAGCGCAAGUGACGGUAGGUGCAGAAGAAGGACCGGCCAACUACGUGCCAGCAGCCGCCGUAACAC